rnacentral:tRNA from 1 species
GCAUCUGUACUUCAGUUGGUAGAAAACACUAGGUGAUAGUGAACGCAUAGGUUCGAGUCCUAUCGGAUGCA